rnacentral:rRNA from 1 species
UUGCAGGCUGAAACUCGCCUGCAUGAAGUCGGAAUUGCUAGUAAUCGCGGAUCAGCAUGCCGCGGUGAAUACGUUCCCGGGCCUUGUACACACCGCCCGUCACACCAUGGGAGUCGGUAACACCCGAAGCCGAUAGUCUAACGAAAGAGGACGUCGUCGAAGGUGGGAUUGAUGACUGGGGUGAAGUCGUAACAAGGUAAC